rnacentral:rRNA from 1 species
UACGUAGGGUGCAAGCGUUGUCCGGAAUUAUUGGGCGUAAAGAGCUCGUAGGCGGUUUGUCGCGUCUGGUGUGAAAAUCCAGGGCUUAACCCUGGACCUGCAUCGGGUACGGGCAGACUAGAGUGUGGUAGGGGAGACUGGAAUUCCUGGUGUAGCGGUGAAAUGCGCAGAUAUCAGGAGGAACACCGAUGGCGAAGGCAGGUCUCUGGGCCAUAACUGACGCUGAGAAGCGAAAGCAUGGGGAGCGAACAGG